AAAUAUUUGUUUUUUUUUUUUAUAUAAUACACUUUAAUUCCGUCAAUAUUAAGUUAUAUACAUUUUAUAUCAAUUAUUUUUUUGUUAUUUUUAUAUAUCAAAUUUAUUUAUAUAUAUACUAAUUUCAAAGUACAUGAUGAACAGGACUUCUCUACGAUUGGUUGUUUUGUUUUUUUUUUCUUUUCCGUUUCCGUUUCCUAUGUUUUCUUUAUUUGUGAGAAUUGUUUUUCUUUUCCAGCAUCUCUGUUACACUGCUAAUGUAACCAAUAAAAACGGGUACAGUGUCCGUCACGUGUUACGUUGUCGAUGUUCUCACCGCCUCUCAUUCUAUCAUCUUCGGAGAAUUCUUUUCGUUUCUGUGGGUAUCGCUUUCCCCCCAUCGCUUCCACCUCUCAAGAUUCUCAGCUGCUUGCCUUCUUCCUCACUCCUCAGCCACUAAAAGCAGCGGAACAUCUUCCCGCCUCCGAUGCUUCUAGGGUUUCCGCUGAAGAAGAUUUAGGUUGAGUGUUUUCACUAUUGAUGAUCCCUCCACCGCCAUAGUCUCCCGUCAAAAACCCUAUCGCCCUUACUAUCAAUUGAAGGAGUUCUCACUCUUGCUCUUAAUCACUUGCUCCACAACCGUCUGCAUCGCCAUCUCUAUCUUCUUUUGUCGCCGGAAAAGAGAACGACGGAACCGAUAUAUUAUGCUUCACCACUCUUUCAUCUGAUAACAUCAUUUUUCUCUGUUGUAGUCGAACCCUAAUUACGUAUGUCAUUGAUCUGAAGCAAUGAUUGUAAAUUUUCAGGUGGAUUUUAUUGAUCACAAGGACUUUUAGACAAAGAAGUGACAACAGAGUGGCAAAGUUGAUCAGAUUAACUACAUGGCAGAAGAAGGUGACAUGUAAGAUUUUGCAGAUGGUGUGGAUGGAGGAGAAAACAAUGGUGAAGAUUGAAAUCUUGAUGAUUACGAAAUGCUUACAAAGGUGACAGAUACGUCCUCUGCUCGAGCAAGAUCAGGAAAAGAUAUCCAGGGCAUUCCAUGGGAAAGAUUGAAUAUAACAAGGGAAAGUUACAGAUGUACAAGACUUGAACAAUACAGAAACUAUGAAGACAUUCAAUUAUCUGGUGAUGUUGAUAAGCUAAGGAACCUGAUAUAGGCUACCUCAAAGCAUGAUGUGUAUCUCAUGUGUAACAACUCAAUCAUGCACUGCUCAUUAAUCACAAAACCCAACUGAAAUUCUAAACUUUUCUAGGCACGUGGCACCUACUGAGAGAAACAUGCAGGUAGUUUGAUGUAAUGGUUUACACAAACUCGAAUUAGUACACUAGUACUCAAUGAUGAUUUCUUGGAGGCAGGAAGGUUUCAAGGAAAGCUUGCUUGUGAGGUGUAUGACUAAGUUUGUGACUGGUCUCUUUUCGGUGGGAAUGUUCUAUCACCUCUACAAUCAGCUGAAAGUUAAAAGACAUGGGUGAUGGUCAGGGAACCAAGCCUGCCAAUGCCAACAAAGGGAACGCAGCUACCAACCUUAGAACUCCCUGCCCCACCACCAGCUGUUUCUGCAAUCCGAUGCUCAGCGCUCGACAUCAACGCUUGAUAAUGAAAACUUUUGUUGUGUUUCUUGAAUUUUGUCAUUUUUUAAACCUUUUCCUUUGGGUAUUUUUUUUAAACAGAGGAAGAAUCAAUCUAACUAUGUAAUAAUUAUUUCAUAUGUCUGUGUUUCUUCGUUUUAUGGUGCUUAAAUGAUUCUUUUUGAUUUCA